UCUCUUCUCUCCUUCCUCAGCGGGUCAAUGGAGCCCCGUGGGACCUUUCUUUCCUCAGGUGAAUGACUGACUUUUGGGGGUCCCCUCGCCUCCCCCAAAGAAAAGCUCUCUUUCGACACCCACCCUUUCUCUCCUCUUGCUCUGAGGGGAAAAGGAGGCGGCAGCCAUUUCGUGGCAGCCCCCCAAGGUUCUCUGAGCUGUGUCCUUGUUUUAUUCAACUGAAGCUCAUGCCGAGGGUCCAGAAUUGAUCUACCGCAGCAAAACUCCUUCAUCUAAAUGUAAAUGCUACCUCCUUGCCUCAGGCUGGUGCUGCUUCAGUAUCACCACCACCUCCCCAGGAAAUGGAUGCAAGACAGGCUCGGAAGCAACAGAUUCACUGCUGAAGAC